AGCUUUCUCUCCCAUUGACCGCCAUCGUCAAACGGGCCUCACGCGCGACAACGGUGACGCUUUGUCCGCCAUUCGCUGCUUUCCGCGGUAGUUACCCCACGCCUCCGCCAGGGACGCCACAAGGCAGCGAGAUUAUCGACUAUCGCCGACGCAAUAGCAGCAGCCGCAGCAGCCCAUAAAGCACCACCAGUCAAUCCACCAAGGGCGUUUAAGCCUUACGGCUCACCACCGCCGUUCGACCUGGAAGCUGAACGCGAUUCUUUUCCGGUAUAGGAAGAAAGAUGGAACAUCUUUUUGGCCCUUUCCACAAUAGAUGAAGUACUCGACGCUUCCGCACGUCCCGGUGAGAGCGAACCCAAGAAUGUGGGCAGCAUUCACGUUCAACGAGUGGCAGCGAUCACCGAGGAGGAGUCAGUGACCAUUAGCAUCGUGGCCCAUCCAAAUGGGCCAACAGUGACCACCCGAGGGCUACCAGACACCGGCUCUCAACUAGAUGCCAUCCCACACUCGCUCUACCACAUUUCAUUCC